UCGGGAAUCUUGCACAAUGGGCGAAAGCCUGAUGCAGCAACGCCGUGUGAGCGGGGAAGGCCUUAGGGUCGUAAAGCUCUGUUGUUGGGGACGAAGGGCGAAGGGUUAAUAGCCCCUAGCCUGACGGUACCCCUCGAGGAAGCACCGGCUAACUACGUGCCAGCAGCCGCGGUAAUACGGAGGGUGCAAGCGUUGUCCGGAUUUAUUGGGUUUAAAGGGUACGUAGGCGGGCUGCUAAGUCUGAGGUGAAAGCUCUCGGCUCAACCGGGAAACUGCCUUGGAUACUGGUAGUCUUGAGUACAGUAGAGGUGGGCGGAAUUCAUGGUGUAGCGGUGAAAUGCAUAGAUACCAUGAGGAACACCGAUAGGGAAGCCAGCUCACUGGACUGUCACUGACGCUGAGGUACGAAAGCGUGGGGAGCGAACAGGAUUAGAUACCCCUGUAGUCC
rnacentral:rRNA from 1 species